UUGCUGCAGCUCAACCUGUGGCACCUUAUAUUUCCGCCUUCCGAUCUCCCCCUGACCCUUCCUCAGCUUUCCCAUCACGGAGGGUCUGCUUUUCUCAACCAGAGAGGUUCAGCUGGUCCAGCGGUUUCGGUGUGAGGGCUGUACAAGAGCCCGAGGCCAAGCCUGGACAGUGAGGCCUGACUCCUUGCCCAGACCACCCUCCUAUGGCCUCAGACCCAGGGCCAGGGUGCUGUUGAUGUAACAGAGCAGAGGGGCAGCAGAUGAAUGGACACCUUUAACCAGAGGAGCAGCAGAACCAGGUAAGUGUCCAGCUGAAAGCCAAGAUCAUUUACUGCGGACCCCCCCAUCAGUGAGCUCUGCUUUCCCUCCGAGCAGGUGCAAGUACUCCUCCCCAUUUCCCAGACAGGGCAGCUGACGCUGAGCAAUCAGAGGCUUCCCAGACUGUGGGCUGGAGAGCUCAGUGCUGCAUCUUCCUAUCUCUCGAUCUUCCGUCUCUGUCCCUCAUCACGUCACUGCAGCACGCAUCAUCUGGGACUGUUGCUACUGUGGUGUGAGGUACAUUUGUUUAGCAAUAAAUGAACUUACUCCUCCACUUGUCUCUUUAUAGAAAGUUUUGUCCCGGGUCUCAUUCAGCAUAUGUCUUUCUGCGUUUCUGUCUUAUGCUAGGUCUCUUGACACCUCCUGG
rnacentral:lncRNA from 1 species